GCACCCCCCAGCGCAGGAGCGCAGGUGGGCUGCUCCUCGGGCAGUGGCCUACGGGGCGUGGGCGCUGCUGGUUCCCGCCACGCCCCGGGGGACCCCAAUCUGCGCCCCCGGCCUACCCUCUCGGCGGUCUUCGAAAAGGUCUAAAACUCCGACUGACCGUUACAACCAAUCUCGGUCUUUCUCCCCUCCCCAGAAGAUGCAACUUUACAUAUUGUUCUGCAACUUGCUUUUUCCUCUGGCUCUUUGAGAACCCUCCUCCUUAAAACCUUUGCAUAUGCUGUCCUGUCUACCUAGAAAAUCCCCGUCGCAAGCCCUCAUUUCCAGUCUUACGGACACUGAUCUUUCCCGCCGCUACAGGCUGACGUCAGUCAGGUCAGAUACUCUGACCCUGGUGAUAGCUUCUGCUCAUUGGUGUUUUGCCAUUACAAUCUAGGCAGAAAGAAUUCUUCUGCAAGCGUUUAAUUUUGUAUCUUCAUUACUC